GAGAACUUUUCAAUACAUAAAUUCGCAACCUUGGCUAUUGAGAAGAAAUUCGCAAGAGGAAACGACGAAAACUACGCACUAGCAGCUUAAUACCCUGCUCAGAGCUCUCUCGCCCUAGCUUCCGCACGUAAGACGGGGAAUAACGAGAGAUCAAACCCAAACGCGCUAGCCCGGAUUCUCCCGCCUGAGAGAUGAACGGCGAAUUAUAAUUCAGGAUAGUCAUUCAUUAGCGUGUCGGUUCGCAGGUGGGUGGUGAAUUUAAAGAUCGACUAAGCAUGUAGUACCAAUGAUGAAAGGUUUUCGGACGCGGGUUCAACUCCCGCCAGCUCCACCA
rnacentral:tmRNA from 1 species